rnacentral:rRNA from 1 species
CACGUAGGGCGCAAGCGUUGUCCGGAAUUAUUGGGCGUAAAGAGCUCGUAGGCGGUCUGUUGCGUCCGCUGUGAAAACUCGGGGCUUAACCCCGAGCCUGCAGUGGAUACGGGCAGACUAGAGGUAGGUAGGGGAGAAUGGAAUUCCCGGUGUAGCGGUGAAAUGCGCAGAUAUCGGGAGGAACACCGGUGGCGAAAGCACUCUGCUGGGCCGAAACUGACACUGAGAGACGAAAGCUAGGGGAGCGAAUGGG